UACGUAGGGGGCGAGCGUUGUCCGGAGUUACUGGGCGUAAAGCGCACGCAGGCGGUCUGCUAAGUUUGGAGUGACAGUUGGUGGCUUAACUGCCAAAGUGCUUCGAAAACUGACAGACUUGAGGGCUUCAGAGGGACACGGAAUUCCGGGUGGAGUGGUGAAAUGCGUAGAUAUCCGGAGGAACACCAAUGGCGAAGGCAGUGUCCUGGGAAGUACCUGACGCUGAGGAGCGAAAGCGUGGGGAGCGAACAGG
rnacentral:rRNA from 1 species